UACGUAGGGGGCAAGCGUUGUCCGGAAUCACUGGGCGUAAAGCGCGCGCAGGCGGUCAUCUACGUCUGGGGUGAAAGCCCGGAGCUCAACUCCGGGAUUGCCUUGGAUACGGGAUGACUUGAGGAUCGGAGAGGCAAGGGGAAUUCCACGUGUAGCGGUGAAAUGCGUAGAGAUGUGGAGGAACACCUGUGGCGAAGGCGCCUUGCUGGCCGAUUUCUGACGCUGAGGCGCGAAAGCGGGGGGAGCAAACGGG
rnacentral:rRNA from 1 species